AGGGUAUAACAGUAAUUAUAUAUUAAAAUUACUAUUUCCAUUAAAAGUAACUGUUUUCAUUAAUGAAUGAGGAUGUAAAUGUCUUUUUUGAAACGUUAGGGGGGUUCUUGUCCCUUUGUCUAAAUGUUGGGGGUGUGCUUGUCUUUUUCCCUAUAAAUAAAAGAUUAUUCACAACUAUUAAUGAAUGGGCAUUUCAUUAUAUAAGGCUGAAACUAUUCUACUUCUAUUGUGAGUUAUUUUAUCUUGAUUACUGAAGUUGAGAUUUCAAGUAGAAUUAACAUAUGUAUAUGUGAUAUGCAUAUUAAACUAGACUAUAGUGAAUUACUGAAUUAUUAUCUAGUUUAACAAAUUUCAUUGAUCAUAAUUUACAUAAGCUUUAAUAAGCUUAAUCAACCUUAGUCCUGAAUGGAUAAUGAACUUGCAUUCAUAUAUUAUAUCUUUUGAGUUAUCCCGGAGUGAGAUACACAUAAAUGGUCGAAAACCUUGAUAGCUUAGAAAUGUAAUUUCAUUGAUCAUGGGAACAUAUACUUACAAGAUAGAAUCUAUACUAAUGAUGCUUAUUUAAAUUUCUUGUGGUAACUUGAUCAUUUAAAUAUGUGGCCACAAUUUAUUUCGUAAAUUAUUUAUUGAAUAAUAAUAUUUAUUUGUAAAUUUAUUUACAAAUAUAAAUAUAUUGAAAGUGAUCAUUUGAAUAAAUAGUAAAUCAAGGGUAAAUAUGUGAUUUACAAAGGCACAACAUUCAUCAUGAGCCUAUCUUUAAUUAUGAGCAUUAGAUAGAGGGUUUAUUAAGUGGUUAUUAUUAGUCAAAGACGAAGGCUAAAAUUAAUUAAAAGGAGUUUUACUUAAUUGAGCUUUUAUUUAAUUACAUGGGUUACUAAAGUACAAUUUGGGUUUUAGUGAAAUAGCCUGGAGUUAACUUGGUAAUUUUGACAUGUGAUGAGAUGUUUAGGCUUUUAAUAUUAAGUUGGAUGUAGAAAGCCCAUGAGUCUGUAGUCCCAAUGUUAACUCAAUUCAUGGUCAAACUUGACUCUAGUAAGUGCUUAUAUAAUAGAGAGGAAAGUAGAAGAGAGAAAAUAUUUUUCUUAUAAGUUUUUCUUGAAAAAGAAAAAAGACACAAUUCUAAGGUUUUCAUCUCCAGCACAAAAGUAACAUUCUUUACACGCCUACUCAUGUGAGGGAGACUAUUGAGGAUAACAGAAGAGAUUGUAAGCUUCUUCGACAGUUCUUCACUACGAAAUUAACGUACUUCUCCAGUCCUAUACAUGUAUAAAUAAUAAAGAAAAAGUUCUUGGCUUUCGCUGAUUUUAUUAAAUAGAAAAUUUAUUUUUCUAAGAUAUGAUUUACCAACACUCUCUUGCGACCACCAUAGAAGCAAUAUCACCAUCAAACAUAUGUGUUUCGUUACCCUUUAAUUAACUUUCGUUUAUUUCUAAAAAUUCCAUGCGCAAAUCAAUAGUUUCAUGUAUAUGGGCUAUGGGUGUUUUUUAUUGUUAGUUUUAGGCCAUCUAUUAAUACUUUUCAAUAAUAUUAUUGAAUAUUGUAUGUCACUUUUUUACCAUGUAUUAUGUCUGCCUUUCAUUUUCCUUUUUGUUCGUCAUAAUUUUUAAAGUAAUGUUUGUGUUGAAAUAUACUUACAAUAAUGUAGAUGGGCAAAAAUAAGAAAAUUAUCAAUCAAACUUAAACUAGAGAUGACCAACGGGUUAGGCGGCAUGUGGCACAGCACGGGCACAACACAUGUCCGUAGAGCACAGCAUGACACGAGCACAUUUUGGUGGGACACAUGGCACGACACAACAUACACAUAGACUAGGCUGAGAUUAGAAUUUUAGGCAUGCAAUCUUUAAAAGCAUAGCAUAAUUAGAGAUUGGCUAAAGCAUGGCACGUGAAAGGCUCGCAAUAAGCAUGACUCACUUUUUAAUGAAAAUGAAUUUAAAAUUUUAUGAUUUUACAAAUAACUUGAAAUUGAAUAUUUUUAAUUUAUGUUUUUAAUUCGCACAAGUUUUUUAAACUCAUUUAAUUCUUAAUUUCCCAAAAAAACUCUAAUUGAUUUAUAUUUAUAAUUUAUUAAAUGAAUAAUUGAUAUUAUGAUUUUAAUAAAUAAAUUAUAAAUAUCAUGGUUUUAUAAAUAUGUAUUAGUGUUAUUAUGGACAUAAUAUAUGACUCUAUGUAAGUUUAAGUUAACAAUUAAAUUAAUCCUUAAGAAAAAUUCAUUAUUAUUGUUGUUGUUAUUGUUGUUGUUGUUAAGUAUUAAAAAGGAAUUCUAAUACAAUAGGGUCCAGUUUAGUAAUUAAUAUUCUCUUACUAUUAUUAGUUGAUUAUUAUUGAAUAUGGACUUAAGUUUUGAAUUUUUGAUUCUAUUGAAUUUGACUAAAGGAAUAUAGACCUACUAAGUUUGAAAAAAGUAUGGUAUGUCCUCUUAAAAAAAUUAAACAAAAAAAAAAGUUUUUGUACUUUUGUCUUAGGCAUGACAUGGCCCACGAUAUGGCACGAAGCACAUGGUGGGCCCGGCAUGGCACGGGCACGAAUAAGAGCACGCAUGAGCCUUCCUAUUUGCCAGCCCGACUCGUUGGCCAUCUCUAACUGAAAUUGAAACUAAUAAUGUAUCACUAGGUAAAACUAUUUAGGACAAUGAAACUACUUUUGUAAAACUUGUGCAUCGUAGAGGUAAAGGAAGUACAUCGCCCUUGGACUCAUUUCACUAAAUUAGGAUGGAAAAAUUCAGUCAAAAAUAAAUUUUACACCAAUGAAGAGAUAGGAAAGAUAUCAAUGAACUAGAAAGUCAAGAAGAAAACAUAUUAACAAAUGAAGCAAAAGAAUGAGAAAUGGAUUUUAAGAAAUAAUAUUGUUAAAACUACAAUGACAAAGUGGUAUUACAUGACAAUUUAUUAUUUGUUUUCUUUUUGAGAUUUUUUAGCUUAUUACAUUUUUUUAUAUUUUUUGUGGAGGAAUACCUUGUUAUACUUUCACUAUACAAUAACAAUUUUAUUUGAUGAAAAUUAUAGUUGAUUUUUUAAUUAUCAAUUAUUUUACGAUAACAAAAUAAAAUAACUAAAAUCAAUAGAGUAUAUUUUUUAUUUUUUAGUUAAAAUUAUUAUAAAUACACAAUAAAAAAUAUUGUGUGUACAUAUUUUUAUAUUUAUAAGUAAAUUUAAUUCUACAUUAUAUCUAAUUUAGUUAUUUAUUUUCUUAUAAAAGUUUAAUCAAACACAUAUACUUGUUUUCAAAACUCAUAACUUUUGGAUCAGGCACUCACCAUAUGUUUUCAUUGUUUAACUCUUUUAUUACAUGAGAAACCCAUUGUUCAAUUCUUUGACAACAAAAAAAAAAUAUCAAAAGCUCUGCCCAUCCUCUUUAUGUAUACGAGGAUCGGUAGGGCAGACCUCCGAUCGAGCUAGGAGCAUGAAUUGUUAGGCGGCUGGGGGGAUGGGCUGGCUUGGCUGUCUUUUCCAUAAAUCUUUGUCCACUUAAUGUCGCUAUUAGUGCGAGUUGUAAGAAGUCUUGGUCUCCAGUUGAGCUAGGGCGUUAUUUCUUGCAUCUCUCAAGCCCUGGUUGGCUAUUGACUUCUUUCACUCAACAAUCGUUGAAUCCGAAUAUGAAAGUGACUGAACUCCCUUUUGAGCUAACUAAAUUAGUUAUGUCGACAACAAAUAUUCUCUUCCUUAAAAAAUAAAAAUUUACUAAACACUAAACUAAUUCUCUUUAUCGCUCAUUGUUUCUAUAGCAUAACUAACAAUAAUUAUUUUAAAAGCUUACAAUAUUAUCAAACUAGCCCCAGCAUUGUCAAACUAGCCUUAAAUUGCUUAGAAAUUUAGUAAGUAAACCACGUAAUACCCUCUUAUACCCGAUUCUCCAUUAUUCAGUGGGCACACUCUAUUUCCACACAAUUAGCUUCACAAGAUGCCAUCCAAAGUCGCAACACAAGGGUGAUCAGGCCCAACAAACACUUGAGGAAGCCCGUGAGUGUAGACCUCUUUGAACUUGGCACUUUAUGGAUCCUUAGCAAAAUGGUUUACAAGAACAAGACCGUCUCUCCUAAGGUUACUGUUCAUUUAUUUAUUAGAUAAUGAAUUUUAUAAUUAAUAAAAUUAAUAUUUUAUCAUCCAAAUCUCAUGUUAGUUGAAAAUCAAAAUUAUUGAGGUCCAUAAUAUUACUUGUCUCUUAAUUAGCAUGAGACAUGUGAAAUGAUUGAUCGAAGAGAGGCCGUGAUAUAAGUUUUUGCCAUAAUUCGGGACUUUCCAACUAAAACCCAUCGAAAAUUGUAUACCAUCCUAAUAUGCCCCAAACAUGCAGGUAAACCAAACAGAUAAUAAAAAUGUAAUAUCUAAUCUCAUUUUUUCUACUAAGUUCUAUUUGAUAUAAUUUUUCAAA
rnacentral:lncRNA from 1 species